GACGUAGGGCGCGAGCGUUGUCCGGAUUUAUUGGGCGUAAAGAGCUCGUAGGCGGCUUGUCGCGUCGUCCGUGAAAACUUGGGGCUCAACCCCAAGCUUGCGGUCGAUACGGGCAGGCUCGAGUUCGGUAGGGGAGACUGGAAUUCCUGGUGUAGCGGUGAAAUGCGCAGAUAUCAGGAGGAACACCGGUGGCGAAGGCGGGUCUCUGGGCCGAUACUGACGCUGAGGAGCGAAAGCGUGGGGAGCAAACGGG
rnacentral:rRNA from 1 species